GAAUGAAAAGCGAAAUUUGCAAUCGGUUUCGACCCGAUCCUUGGUCUUAUUAGGCCUUUAUUCU
rnacentral:tRNA from 1 species